rnacentral:lncRNA from 1 species
AUGCAAUCUGAAAAGAGGAGGGCAUAUAGAAAUCCUCACAAGACUAUUACCGAGAGAAAGGAAACGACUUCUUUGAGGUGCUUGCAAGGGGCAGAAGAGGUUUGUCUUGCAUCUGGAAGUAGAUGUCUAAUAAUGAGAAGGAAGCAGCCCUGUGCAGCUGAGGGUGCUGACAAACCUACAUCAGAUCUGCUUCAGGUGUGGCAGCGGAGAGGUCACAGGAGAGGUGAGCAAUGCGUUGAGCACUCUGCUUCCCCCAGGAUGGAGCAACACGUAGCAACCAGGCCAGUGCAUUCUGUACAUCUUGCUGGUUUCAGUAGAGAAGGCUACAGAAGAAACAAAUCAAACUCUUCUUCAGAGAAACAGCCUCAAUAUGGAUUUGCAGGGGAUCCAUUUAAGCAAUCCGUCUGGUAG